rnacentral:sRNA from 1 species
UCUGUGCUCGGAUCGAGUGUAUUACCGUUAAUGCAAAUGGAAGGCAUGGCUGCUGAGGAUUAACGGGUCAAACACUCAGUCGGUUGUAGGGUGAUAGAAAUAAUAGGUGGCAAUUAUGCUUGAUAUAUAAAUAAGUAGUGUAGAGAAAGAUAUAUAAAUAGGUACGGUAGAGACAGAUAUGUAUGGAGAGUCCAGAGAGACAGGAUAGGGAACAGAGAGGAAAGGAGGAAAAAAGGGAAAAGGGAAAGGGAGAAAAGGAGGAAGAGUAGCUGCAAUAUAAAAGAACCAAACAAGCUGGAGAACGCGGAAAUCAGCCGUGGAAGGGGGAGUGUGGCUCUGAGGCAGGUGGC